rnacentral:snRNA from 1 species
GUGCUCACUUUGGCAGGACAUAUGCAAAAGUUUGGACAAUACAGAAAAGAUUAACAUGGCCACUGUGCUAGAAUGACAUACCCAUUCGUGAAGCAUUUCUUGUUUUU